AAGGUUCGUUGUAAGGAUUCUUAAUAUAUGUAUUUUUUGUAAAUUGUUAGUCACUAUCGUAUUCUUCCUCGCUACUGCUGCUUUCCUCAGAAUCGUUUUGAUUUAACGAUUCAUCUGCAAACUCUUUAGGCCUUUAAACUAGUUAGCACAAUCAUCUAAUGUUAUUUCAAGAGAAUUUCUUACCAAUAAAUUUGUUUUUUCCAAUUUUUUAAAGGGCUUUGUACCACGUACAAUAUAGUACCGUCAAUUUUAUUGUCCUUCUCUAAAAACUCAGAUUUAUCAACUAUUACAAACCCAUUUCUCCUAACCCAUAUUUUAUUACGAUACUUUGGAGGCAUCUCAACAAGUAAUUCCUGUCCAUUGUUUUCUACUACCAUAAAAAGCGCAGAUCCUUUAAGUUGCACAACUUUGGCGACGACUUGAUCUUUUUCCAACCUAGCUGGUGGAUCAAACGAAAUUUGACCGCCAUAUUUUUUUGACAUAUUAGUAUUUCUCUAAAGAGCUCGUAUAUAUGUGAUAACCAAGCAAAUCGUAGAGAAUUGGGUUUAUGGUGGUUAGGAAGCUUCGACAAGUGGAUUUACAAGAUGAUAUGCAUUUCAUAAAUGU